AUUGAACGCUGGCGGCAGGCCUAACACAUGCAAGUCGAGCGGAUGAAGGGAGCUUGCUCCUGGAUUCAGCGGCGGACGGGUGAGUAAUGCCUAGGAAUCUGCCUGGUAGUGGGGGAUAACGUCCGGAAACGGGCGCUAAUACCGCAUACGUCCUGAGGGAGAAAGUGGGGGAUCUUCGGACCUCACGCUAUCAGAUGAGCCUAGGUCGGAUUAGCUAGUUGGUGGGGUAAAGGCCUACCAAGGCGACGAUCCGUAACUGGUCUGAGAGGGUGAUCAGUCACACUGGAACUGAGACACGGUCCAGACUCCUACGGGAGGCAGCAGUGGGGAAUAUUGGACAAUGGGCGAAAGCCUGAUCCAGCCAUGCCGCGUGUGUGAAGAAGGUCUUCGGAUUGUAAAGCACUUUAAGUCGGGAGGAAGGGCUGUAAGUUAAUACCUUGCUGUUUUGACGUUACCAACAGAAUAAGCACCGGCUAACUUCGUG
rnacentral:rRNA from 1 species